UACGUAGGGACCAAGCGUUGUUCGGAAUUACUGGGCGUAAAGCGCGUGUAGGCGGCUAAGUGUGUCGGGCGUGAAAUCCCAUGGCUCAACCAUGGAAGUGCACCCGAAACUGCUUAGCUAGAGUCCUGGAGAGGAAGGUGGAAUGCUUGGUGUAGAGGUGAAAUUCGUAGAUAUCAAGCGGAACACCGGUGGCGAAGGUGGCCUUCUGGACAGUGACUGACGCUGAGACGCGAAAGCGUGGGGAGCAAACAGG
rnacentral:rRNA from 1 species